UGAGCUUGCUGCUUCCUGCUGGGAAAAUGUUAGUGGCGGAGUCACACCCAGUUUACUAAUUGUUUAACUGCAAAGCUUGACUCUGGAAAUAAAAAAAGAAUGAGAGCAGAAGUGGAGACUUCAUAAAGAAAGUGAAUGGGGAUCAAAAAGGAUCCAGCUCCAGCUCCUGGAAGCUUACCCCACCCCACCAAAGAGAACCUGGAUGGAACCCUCUUUCAUCAGGAAUAAACUGGAGCCCAAGGAAAUGAAGGAAUCAGAUGGGGACCAAGUGACCUGUCCACACAAAAGCCAUCUGAUGAGUGCUUCUACUCCCUGCUCGCAGCCCACCUUCAGCUACACAGAUCUGCACGGCCCCUUGCUUCUGCCAUAUGGGAUCCAGCCUGACAGCAGCGAAUGAGUGCACAGAUUUCAAGUAGAGGAAAUCCCCAGGAAAUGGCAAGGGACAGUAUUAGGAAUCGACAAAGUACUACUUUAAAAUAACCUUAGAUUAGAUGAUUCUUCCUUCAAAGGCACAACUGGUUUACACACAGCUAUACACAGCCAGUUCCUCUGUUGGACUCAAGUGGCCAUGACCCUCAGGAAAAUCCUCUAGGAGUGCUCGGCACAGGGCAGCAGGAAGUCACGUGGGGAGGGUCCCUCUGCAGACCCUUGUGGCACAGCAAUAGGAGAGCAGGGCGGUGUUGGAGGCCCAGCCCUGCCUGAGGCCACUUCUUCAUAGGUCCUGGCUGCCGCACCCUGCUUAUGCCCUGCAAACCCCUGGCACCUCUCUAAAGCCCUGUGAAUCAACCAUCUGACACGGCCUGUCACUACUCAUCAACGCUGACUGGCAGUGACACCACCUCUGAGGCCUGAUGCUCUGCCACAGCUGCUAGGUCACCUGAGUAGAGUUAGGAUUAUUAAAAAUCAAAUGAACCAAGCAGGAUGUUUCUCCUGGGCAAAUAUUUAUCUGUCCCUACCCAAAUGAACUAAGAUUAAAAACCAAAUAUUAGAAAGCACGUUACCCUUCAGACCAUACUGUGAUUUAUCAUAGGCUAAAACAAAUUGUUUCAUUGUUUUGCUUCCCUCCUCUUUCAUUCGGUCUGUCGUCUGAUAAGUGGAGGAUUUUUUGAGGAAGAGGUCAAGAUCAUUCAUGGGUGGAAUACAUAAAAGCUAGCAAUAUAAAAGAUGACAUUUAUUUAUUUAUUAUUACUUUAUUUGAGACGGAGUCUUGCUCUGUCGCCUAGGCUGGAGUGUAGUGGCCAGAUCUCGGCUCACUGCAAGCUCCGCCUCCCGGGUUCACGCCAUUCUCCUGCCUCAGCCUCCCGAGUAGCUAGGACUACAAGCGCCCACCACCAUGCCUGGCUUUUUGUAUUUUUAGUAGAGAUGGGGUUUCACCGUGUCAGCCAGGAUGGUCUCGAUCUCCUGACCUCGUGAUUCUCCCGCCUCGGCCUCCCAAAGUGCUGGGAUUACAGGCGUGAGCCACCGUGCCUGGCAAAAGAUGACAUUUAAAAAAAACUUUUUUUCCUAAUUAUAGAAACAAAGUACAUUUGCUUUUGAAAAGCCAAGCCAUACGGACGACAAACAAUAUGAUGAAAGGUCACUCAGAACCCCACCCUAGAAGAAAGCCAGAAGUCCUGGUUCGGCACUUGUGGAAAGACAUUGAUACUCCAGGCUUCGCAUCUGUACGUCUCCAUCAAAUCUUACCCAGUUGUAGCCUGGCUGCAAAAUCACUCUCCAACUGAAACUUUUUUCACAGAGGAAAAAAAUGGGCAAGGAGGCUCUUUCUUGCAAAUUCUAAUCUCUUUGAGACAGGAGAGAGAGAGAAGCUCUCUUGUAAAUUUGACAGUGCUUUACAGAGGAGACAGGAGCCGCGAGAUACCCCUGAGAAAUAAAAUAAUAGUCAUUGGCCUGAAAAAGGCAGAGAACCGGAUCCAGAGUGAGAGGCUCAGGAAGCAGAGUGAUGCCUGGUGCCUGCAGAGUGUCACACACCCGCAGGCCCUGGCUGAGGACACUUGCCUGCGAGGCAUCAUCAGCUCUGGCUCUGAUCAGCAGGAGCAACAGGGGACAGGGGAGCAUGGGUCUUCAGGGGGCCAGCGUGCCGUAUGUGGUCUUGCCUGGAAACCAUUUACCACGAUGGCGAUCAUGGGCAAGAUUGUGAGGGGCUAGUGGGUCUGAUGCCACUGUUAACGCUGGCUUCAUAAAACAAUUUGGGGCCUCACACCACAGGGCAAGCUGAGCUGGCAUGAAAGGCUGCCCGCCUCCCACUCCUAACCCUGCCCUACCUGCCUCAAAUACAUAAAAAUGCUAAAUAAGAGGUAAUGUUUUGUGCAUAUAGCCAAGUUCAAUAUCAAAAGAGGUGCCAGGAAUGAAGCAAAAUCUUCUAAAAGCCAGGGUGACUUGGCUAAAAUGGAAGCCAGAGGCAGGCACAGGUAUUUCAGAGCCAGAUCCGGGCCUCAGCCUCCAAGAGUGUGUGGCUUCUGAUGCUCUUGCAGGGAGAUGAAUCCAGACCUCCGGUUCCAUGCUGGAAGCCAGACACCUUGGAGGGCUGGCUUGUUGCUUCGGUGGAAAGAAACAGCACUGACCACCAGCCCUGGGAAACGGUGGCUCCAAAGAGGUUAAGAGGGAUCAGAAUUGCCUAAGAGGAGCAUGUCCUAGACCUAAACCACCAAUGAGAAUGAAGCCAGAACUCACACUGUGUGGGUAGUAAAAAGACACACAUUUGCUUCCCCAGCUGAAAGCUGACACAAAAAAUUACCCUAAACUGCUGAAUCCUACAAGGCCCAGAAGAGAUGAAUGUGAGCUCUCCCCUGGAGAUACUGCCAGGCCCAGACCCUGGGGACUCUCAGUGAUAGAAAACUACCAGGAGAGGCAGCAGGUGAAAGACCGGGAGACUUUAACCCCAAUAACUCAGGAUAAUAAAACAGCUGAAGAGAACACUUAAAAUAAGAAUGUCACCUUUCAUUGUUUCGAGGUAAAGGAAGAUGUGGGAGUCAUAAGACAGUAACAGGACCCUGUGGGAAAAGACCAAGUUGAUUUGCAAAAGAAGCAAAGGAAUUCUACAAUGAAAUGUCUAGCCAUUGAAAUAGAGAAAUCAAUAGAAGGUUGAAAGAGCAGACUUCAGAGAAUUAGUCUAUUGGAAAAAAGAUUUGAGAAAAUCACUCAGAUGUCACAUGAAGAGGUAAAGAUCUGGAAAAUAUGAGGGUUUCAAUAAUAGGGAAGAGAAAUGAAAAUGUCCAUUAUCUGUUAACAGGAGCUCCAGAAACAGAAAAAGAAAAUGGGAGAGGAGCGAUGUUUGAAGGGAUGAUGGUGAAGUUUCCAGAUAUAAAGAAAAAUGGAAUUUCUAAUUGAGGUAACAUCACAACUCCUAAUCAGAAUGAAUUAAAUAAAUCUACACAAAGGUACAGCUUAACAAAUCUGCAGACCAUAAAAAGACAACUACUUUAAUUACCAAGAGAAGAAAGAUUAUCUCAAAAGUAAUGGCAGUGUUCAUUUCUGCAACACACCUGCCAGAAUUGGAACAGUAAGAGAAGAUAAGCAUGGCUCCUGCACGAGAUGACAAGCCAAACUGUGAAGCAUUCCAUGUUUUUUAAAGUACAAUAAGCCAGGAAUAGAAAGUUAGGCACCAUAUGUUCUCAUUCAUACCUGGAAACUAAAAAUGUUGAUCUCAUAGAGGUUAAAAGUAGAGCAGAGGAUACUAGAAGCUGACAAGGGAACGGGGAGGGAAGGAUAGGGAGAGGUAUGUUGAAAGACAUAAAAUUUCAGCUAGACAAGAGGGAUCAGUUCUAGGUUCUAUAGCAUGGUAAGAUGACUACAAUUAACAGUAAUAUAUUAUAUAGUUUCAAAUAGCUAUUAAAUAGAAGGAGGGUAUUGAAUAUUUCCAAGACAAAGAAAUGAUGAAUGUUUGAGAUGGCAAAUAUGCUAAUUACCUUGAUUGCAUCACUAUCCAUCACUUUGUACACCACGAAUGUACAAUAUUAUUUGUCAAUUUAAAAAUAGAAUUUUAGGCGGCGUGCGGUGGCUCACAUCUGUAAUCCCAGCACUUUGGUGGCUGAGGUGGGCAGAGCACUUGAGGUCAAGAAUUCGAGACCAGCCUGGCCAACAUGGUGAAACCCCGUCUUUACUAAAAAUACAAAAAUUAGCCAGGCAUGGUGGCAUGCACCUGUAAUCCCAGCUAGUCUGUAGGCUGAGGCAGGAUAAUUGCUUGAACCCAGGAGACGGAGGUUGCAGUGAGCUGAGAUCGCACCACUGGACUCCAGCCUGGGCGACAGAGCAAGACUCUGCCUCAAAAAUAAAAAAAUAAAAAUUUAAAAGGUAAUGGCAAUUAGGCAAAAGCACCUUCUUACAAAGCAGCAAAGGACUUCGGAAGAUAAUGCAAUAAUAUAUUCAAAAUGCCAAGUGAAAAUACAACGGCUAUCCUAGAAUUAUAUAUUUAGCAAGUCUGUCAAUCAAUAAUAAAGGUUAACUCAGCUAUAACAAAGACCGAGAGAGUUUUUCAUUCUAAAUAGCUUAAAGAUUAUUUCAGCACAAAGAAUACUGAAUCUAGAAGUGAACUGGAUUUAAGAAACCAUCUGAAGAGAUGAAACUGGCAAACAUUUUGAUUCACUUAAAUAUGAACCGAGUGUAAAAAUAAUGAUAAAUGACCAGACUUGGAAGUUUACAAAAAGAAGGAAAUAAAAGCAGCACCCAGCACCCAGUAUGGGAGGUGGGGGAGGGAAGCUGGGCAUUGUAAGGCUUUUGUGGUGUUAGAGUACAAUACAGAGAUUAAUGAGCUUCAGUGUUCAUAAAGUUAAUUACGCCUCUUAAAAAAUGAAAGUUAACCACUAAAGAAUUGAAGUAGAACACAUUACUUCCAAGCUAGUGGGGGACUGAGGGGAGGAAAGAAAGCUA
rnacentral:lncRNA from 1 species